rnacentral:RNase_P_RNA from 1 species
CAAAGAAGAUAAAAUGUCUGCUUCGCGUUCGUAAAGAAUGCGGAGAGGAAAGUCCGAACACCGAAGGGCAGGAUACUUCCUAACGGGAAGUCUCGGCGACGAGGAGAAAGCUCCACAGAAAACAGACUACCUUGGGUUUUCUAGGAAUUUUUUCCGAGAGAAACUCAGGGAAAAGGUGAAAAGGCGGUGUAAGAGACCACCGGUUUUCGGUGUGAACCGAAAAGCCAGGAAAGCCUUAUCCGGUGCAAUGCCAAAUAGGAGAACUGGUUUGCCCGACCAAAAUGUUCUCGGGUAGGCAGCUAAAAUCGGUUCGCAAAAGGCGAAUCUCAGUAGAGAAUAGCGAUAUCCGAUUCAGAGAAAUAGACAUUAAAUUGCCUGUUAAGCAAUUUACAGAAUUCGGCUUAUUAUCUUCUUUGACGC